rnacentral:lncRNA from 1 species
CCUGUGGCAUGCAGCAAUUCCCAGGCCGGGGACUGAAAACCCACGCCACAGCUGUGACCCGAGCCAUUCAGUAACAAUGCCAGAUCCUUAACCUCUAAGCCACCAGGGAACGCCAAGGGCAUCCAGAUUCUCGCAUGGGCCCACCCCUCUGGCCACAGCCAGCCACCUCGGGGCUGGGCCUGACUCCAGCUGAAACAAGGAACUCCUUCCCUGGGAAUUUUUAACUGGGAAUUGAGAAAGUUAGGUCGACUCCCUCCUAUGGGAGAAGCUAUUGCUGGUCAUGUUUCUGGAAAGCCAGACUGCAGCCGCAGUGAGAAAGGCAGCGCUAAACAGGCCAAGGAAUAAUAGAGGCAGGUGGGUGGCAUUUGAGGAGCUUGUCUAGCACAUCUGCGCCCCCCCCCCGCCCCCCAUGGUUUGCUGGUUCUGCGCUUCUGAGAACUCUGGAAAGAAUGGAUUCCUCUUCUUGCUCACUGAGGUGAGGCUCUGAUAUUUGCAAUCAGGAUUACAGAAGAUGUGUGACCCUUGUACGGGUUGGGUUCUUUUUCAAAAACAAGAGCAGAACGGAGAGGUUAGAAAGCACGAGUGGCCUUCACCUCAACCCACCUGCCAGCCGGAACUUGUGAUUUACACACCUGGCAGCUGCAUCCUUGACCUUUUGAGACGGCGCUGUAGCUCGUUUCAAGGUGCUGCCCAGAAGUUCCCGUUGUGGCUCAGUGGGAACAAAUCUGACUAGUAUCUACGAGGAUGCGGGUUCGGUCCCUGGCCUCACUCAGUGGGUUAGGGAUCUGGCGUUGCCGUGAGCUGUGGUGUAGGUCACAGAUGAGGCUUGGAUCUGGCGUUGCUGUAACUAUGGCGUAGGCUGGCAGCUGCAGCUCUAGUUCCACCCCUAUCAUCGGAACUUCCAUAUGCCUCACGUGCAAUCCCAAAAAGAAAGACAAAAAAAGAGGAGGCUGCCCCCACUUGGGGAAGGGGAGGCAGGCAGCAGUAUGAGGUGGGGGGAUGGCUGUAGCCAGCUGCAGCUCCAGCACUGGGGAUUCAGCUGGCGGGUCCUGCCUGUCUGUUUCCUGCUGGAUUUCUUCUCGCUUGCCUCUCCCAGAGAGGAACCCCUCUUCUGUGUCCUGAUCUAAUGGAGGGAGACGAUCCCUCUCCAGGGAGCUACCUCCUGGGGUCCAGAGAAGGAAGGGAGCUGCCAUUUAAUACCUGCAUUGUCUUACUCAUCAUCCUAUAAUACCCUUCCUGUAAGAUGUCUCAUGGAUCCUGACAACGCCCCUCAUUUUAUACGAGAGCCGACCAGAGCCUUGUUCCUCCUACUCUGUGUCUGCAAAUAGCACAUGUCAUUCUCUCCCCAUCUCACCCCUCUUUUUUCGGCCUUGUUUUCCACAUAAGAGGCAGCACCAUAGAAAGCCAGCUACUGCUGUUUCCUGAGGACAAGAUGCCAGGGGAAGACACUAUUUUCAUACCAAACCUGGUUUCCUGGUGGGCACAGAAAUUGUGGCCUGUGAAAAUAGCAACUCUGGCAAAAAUGUCUCCAAUCUGCUUAGAUGUGCAUCAAAUUAGGAGCUAGCCUUGCAGUUACGCCAACAGACUGUUUCUAAUGAGCCGGAAACAAAACUCCUUUUAAAGCUACCAGCCAUUGGCCCAGAGUCGUCAGCACAACUAGAAACCUGGGGCCCUCCAGCAAAACUUGCUCCUAGCUUUCGCUCCCUCUGACCCUGCCAGCUCCAUCAUCAUCCCUUAUUCUGUUCCUGCUCCUGCAGCCCAGGACCCAGGCCUUUACACAUACAAUGGAAGGCAGCGAUCAAACCCAGACCUGGGGCCAUGGUCUCUGCCCUCACAAAGAGGAGAGGGACACGACUCUGCUCGUCCUCUGCACUGUCCAUACCUCUCUCCACCCCCCACCCCCAUGCCUUUUCCCAGUCAAUACCAGAGUCCCUAGGUCAGUUUCUACAGCCUCUAUCAACAAAAGCUGAUAGCAGUGUCACAGACUCAAAUGGAGCAGGGGAGCAGGCAGGCAGUAAGAACAAUAGCUGACAUUUUAGCAAAUGUGGAUGGCUGGUCUCCAAGCCUCUGUGCCUGCUCUUCCAUCUGCUUGCACACUCUUCCCUGCAGAGCGCCACGUGGCUGUGUCUUCACUUUCCUUGUGCCUUCCCUGGAGGCUGUCUUUUCAGUGACGCUUCCCUGCCGAUCCUGUCUAAGUCCCCAGCAUUCGCCGCCCACUUGCCCUGCCCUAUCUUUUUCUACAGCGUUCGUGGGAGGAGCUACCUCCUGGGGUCCAGAGAAGGAAGGGAGCUGCCGUUUUAAUACCUGCAUUGUCUUACUCAUCGUCCUAUAAUACCCUUCCUGUGAGAUGUCUCAUGGAUCCUGACAACACCCAGAGAGGCAGGUACUAUUAUCCUCAUUUUAUACGAGAGCCAGCCAGAGCCUUGUUCCUCCUACUCUGUGUCUGCAAAUAGAAUGCCCCCGACGUUAUGUUUACUAUAUGGUCGACCAUGUUGUUUCUUGUCUGUCCUGCCAUGCCCCUACUAUAGGUGCCAGAAGGGCAGAGGUUAGUCUGUUUUGUCCCCUAAAGUAUCCCCAAACCCUAAAAAAAAAAAAAGACACACCCCCAAAAAAACUGGCCCUUGCAGUUCCUAUUGUGGCGCAGCAGAAAUGAAUCUGACCAGGAACCAUGAGGUUGCCGGUUCGAUCCCUGGCCUUGAUCGGUGGGUUAAAGAUCUGCAUUACCGUGAGCUGUAGUGUAGGUCGCAGAUGCGGCUUGGAUCCUGCGUUGCUGUGGCUGUGGUGUAGGCCAGCAGCUGUAGCUCCGAUUGGACCCCUAGCCUGGGAAUCUCCAUAUGCCACGGGUGCGGCCCUAAAAAGCAAACAAACAAACAAACAAACAACCUGGCCUGUGGUAGGUGUCCAGUAAAUAGUCAUUGUGUCCCCAAGGCCAGGCGCUGUGCUAAACACCAGGAUGUAUUAACGCAUGUAAUCCCUCCACAAACUUAUGAGAUGGGCACCACUUGGUGGUGGUGGUUAUUAUUAUUACGCUGCCCAUGUUGCCGAGGAAGAGGCUGGAAUACAGAGCGGUUAAGGCACACAGCUAGUUAGGGGUGGAUAAGAACUCAGACCCAGCCGUGUAACCGUGUUCCCAACCACUUUCCUGCUUCGAACACACUUCAUACAACAUGACCGGGCCUGGUGGGAACCGUGACAACUGGAAAAGGCUUCCUGUGCCCAAAAGCAGUCCAUUUUAUUUUAAUCCUCUUCUGGACCCAAGCAAGAGCGUCUGUUGCCUUAUUUAGCCUCUAGGCCACCAGUUGGAAGAGGCUCAACCUAAAGUAGAAAUUGCAGACAAAAAUAGGCUUUUAUGGGGUUAGGAGGAAUAGAGAUUGAGAGAAAGAUUGCCCAGCCAGACUGCGGGGGUUAAGGAAUCCACAGGUGUCUUUUUCUUGGCUGUUUGCCCUUUGGCAAGAGGGUCCAUGCCAGGGAGGCUCAGAGAUGGCUGCCUGAACAGAAAUCCCGUGGCCGGGGGGACCCUUCCAGGAGUGCUAAGCUCAGGCACCACCCAAAUGACAGGCAGGCUGUCGACUGUCACAAGCUGGUCGCCUGGGACAGCUGCCGCCACACAGAGGAGGGACCAAACCACAGAGCCAUGGACAUGUGUAUAGUCUUGGCAUUGCUGCAGUGUUAAGGCACCUCCCUCGUGUCCUCCUAGACCCCCCCAGAUGGUCAGUUUCUUCGUGGUCGGCUGUCUUUGAUUUUGAUACCAGCUUGCUGCUGACCCCAAUCAUCUCACUGUAGGGUGUCCAGUCCAGGUGGCCCCAGGGAUUAGAACACCAGCCAAAGCCUUCAGAAAUGUCUUCACACGCUAAUACUCGGAAGCCACAAUGUUUAUUGAACACCAUCGGCCACGUUAAUGUCAUGACCCAGACUGUAGGAAAGAUCGAAAGGACUUUUUCUCUUCCAUGAGGCGGCUAUGAUCAAAGAAGAACCCAUCCAGUCUCUCCAUGCAGCACGCAGCAGCUCAGAUUUCUCGGUUCCCUUAACACUCCCUCAGUAACCACGGCUUGAGCAGCUGGUGGUGCCCACAGUGUGCUCUGGAGGGGCACUGGCAGGCAGGAGACAGCUAUAAUCCCCAAUGGUGAGAGAAGAUGCAUCAGGCGUGUGGGCCAAGAGCUGUAAGAAUGCAGGGCAGGGGUGAGGGCGGCGCUCCCGUUGUGGCUCAGUGGUUCACAAACCCGACUAGCAUCCAUGAGGAUGCGGGUUCAAUCCCUGGCCUCGCUCAGUGAGUUAAGGAUCUGGCCUUGCCGUGAGCUGUGGUGUAGGUCGCAGACGUGGCUCGGAUCCUGUGUGGCUGUGGCUGUGGUGUAGGCCGGUGGCUACAGCUCUGAUUUGAUCCCUAGCCUGGGAACUUCCGUAUGCCAGGGGUACAGCC